AGUGAACGCUGGCGGUAGGCCUAACACAUGCAAGUCGAACGGCAGCACAGUAAGAGCUUGCUCUUACGGGUGGCGAGUGGCGGACGGGUGAGGAAUACAUCGGAAUCUACUUUUUCGUGGGGGAUAACGUAGGGAAACUUACGCUAAUACCGCAUACGACCUACGGGGGAAAGCAGAGGAUCUUCGGACUUUUGGCGUUAGAUGGAGCCGAUGUCGGAUUAGCUAGUUGGCGGGGUAAAGGCCCACCAAGGCGACGAUCCGUAGCUGGUCUGAGAGGAUGAUCAGCCACACUGGAACUGAGACACGGUCCAGACUCCUACGGGAGGCAGCAGUGGGGAAUAUUGGACAAUGGGCGCAAGCCUGAUCCAGCCAUACCGCGUGGGUGAAGAAGGCCUUCGGGUUGUAAAGCCCUUUUGUUGGGAAAGAAAAGCAGCAGGUUAAUACCCCGCUGUUCUGACGGUACCCAAAGAAUAAGCACCGGCUAACUUCGUG
rnacentral:rRNA from 1 species